UUCGGCCCUCGGCAGACUGCUCAGUAACACGUGGAUAAUCUACCCUUAGGUGGAGGAUAAUCUCGGGAAACUGAGGAUAAUACUCCAUAAAUCUAGGAUACUGGAAUGUACUUAGGUUGAAAGUUCCGGCGCCUAAGGAUGAAUCUGCGGACUAUCAGGUUGUAGUCAGGGUAAUGACCUGACUAGCCUAUGACGGAUACGGGUUGUGAGAGCAAUAGCCCGGAGACGAUAUCUGAGACACGAUAUCGGGCCCUACGGGGCGCAGCAGGCGCGAAACCUUCACAAUGUGCGAAAGCACGAUGAGGGGAUCCCAAGUGUUGGUUCGUAAGAAUCAUCUGUUUCUUUGUCUAAAAAACAGAGAGAGUAAGAGCUGGGUAAGACGGGUGCCAGCCGCCGCGGUAAUACCUGCAGCUCAAGUGGUGGCCGCUAUUAUUGGGCCUAAAACGUUCGUAGCCGGUUUAAUAAAUGCCUGGGUAAAUUGUGUAGCUUAACUAUACGAAUACCGGGUAGACUGUUUAACUUGGGACCGGGAGAGACUAGAGGUACUCCCAGGGUAGAGGUGAAAUUCUGUAAUCCUGGGG
rnacentral:rRNA from 1 species